rnacentral:rRNA from 1 species
UGCAAGUCGAACGUGCUCCCGUUCGGGGAGAAAGUGGCGAAAGGGUGAGUAACACGUGAGCAACCUGCCUCCGGAUCCGGAAUAAUCCAGGGAAACUUGGUCUAAAACCGGAUGAAGACAUUGGGCCGCAUGGUCUGGUGUUAAAAUAUUUAUAGUCCGGAGAGGGGCUCGCGGCCCAUUAGCUUGUUGGCGGGGUAAUGGCCCACCAAGGCUACGACGGGUAGGUGGUCUGAGAGGAUGGUCACCCACACUGGGACUGAGACACUGCCCAGACUCCUACGGGAGGCUGCAGUCGAGAAUCUUCCGCAAUGGGCGCAAAGCCUGACGGAGCGAUGCCGCGUGAGGGAUGAAGGCCUUCGGGUUGUAAACCUCUGUCAUCCGGGACGAAAACAAUGACGGUACCGGAAAAGGAAGCCACGGCUAACCACGUGCCAGCAGCCGC